GACGAACGCUGGCGGCGUGCCUAAUACAUGCAAGUCGAGCGCAGGAAACUGACGGAACUCUUCGGAGGGAAGGCAGUGGAAUGAGCGGCGGACGGGUGAGUAACACGUAAGGAACCUGCCUCAAGGAUUGGGAUAACUCCGAGAAAUCGGAGCUAAUACCGGAUAGUUCAACGGACCGCAUGGGCCGCUGAUGAAAGGCGCUCCGGCGUCACCUUGAGCUGGCCUUGCGGUGCAUUAGCUCGUUGGUGGGGGAACGGCCCACCAAGGCGACGAUGCAUAGCCGACCUGAGAGGGUGAUCGGCCACACUGGGACUGAGACACGGCCCAGACUCCUACGGGAGGCAGCAGUAGGGAAUCUUCCACAAUGGACGAAAGUCUGAUGGAGCAACGCCGCGUGAGUGAUGAAGGUUUUCGGAUCGUAAAACUCUGUUGUAAGGGAAGAACACGUACGAGAGGAAAUGCUCGUACCUUGACGGUACCUUACGAGAAAGCCACGGCUAACUACGUGCCAGCAGCCGCCGUAA
rnacentral:rRNA from 1 species